rnacentral:rRNA from 1 species
AGGACGAACGCUGGCGGCGUGCUUAACACAUGCAAGUCGAGCGGAAAGGCCCUUCGGGGUACUCGAGCGGCGAACGGGUGAGUAACACGUGAGUAAUCUGCCCCUAGCUCUGGGAUAGCUCCGGGAAACCGGGAUUAAUACCAGAUACGACCACUUUAGACAUCUGUUGUGGUGGAAAGAAUUUCGGCUAGGGAUGAGCUCGCGGCCUAUCAGCUUGUUGGUGAGGUAACGGCUCACCAAGGCGACGACGGGUAGCCGGCCUGAGAGGGCGACCGGCCACACUGGGACUGAGACACGGCCCAGACUCCUACGGGAGGCAGCAGUGGGGAAUAUUGCGCAAUGGGCGAAAGCCUGACGCAGCGACGCCGCGUGGGGGAUGAAGGCCUUCGGGUUGUAAACCCCUUUCAGCAGGGACGAAGCGAAAGUGACGGUACCUGCAGAAGAGCGCCGGCUAACUACGCGCCAGCAGCCGC